AGAGGCUAUGGAGAGGUAACAGAAAGCAGCAUUUGGCCUGCAGAACCUUUAUUACUUGAUGCUGUGCGAGAGGGAAAGAAUCCAGCUUGACUCUACAGGUCCAUUUAAAAAAUGUGGGUUGAACUAAUUUUCAUAUGAAAAACCAGUCAUGAACAAAGAGCCCCACAACGUGAUGACUGAUGUGACCCAGGUCCCAGGAGGUACCUGCCUCCAUAUCAAGGCUGACCUUCAAUAAUUGUUUCAUUACUGUCAAGUUCUCCUUGAAAGCCUGUGAUAUUCUGCAGCUAACAGUGAACAAGAACAAAUUGAACUGCAGAAAGUGGAGGUAGGCUUGUACCAGCUAGUCAGGAGCAGCCACUUAAUCUACCUUGACUAUAAGCCAACUAAUUCAUUUGACAGAAGAAGAUAAAAAGGACCUCACACACAGAGAACAAAGGCAGAGAGAGCCUAUCAACUACAAGGUGACACAGAACCUCUCAGAAAACCCACAAGGAAUGUGUACUUGACUCACAGGGUCAUCUAAGUGAUGCUGAGCCUCAUUCUCCCUUCACUUCUGCUGAUGUAAAGCCAGUAGUAACUCCAUUUCAGUCAAUUGUGGUAUAGAUUAGAUCAGAA